rnacentral:lncRNA from 1 species
CCAAAAUUAAAAAAAAAAGAAAGAUUCUUCAAAAAUAUAAGACAAUCAAUUACUAGCAUAAAAUGGGCUGCACUACUUAGCAUUUGCAAUUUGAUUGUAUAAAAUAAAUAAUAAAUAUUUAUAAGCAUAAGAAAAAUAUUAGAAGGUGGCUCCGGACUUGUGAAUUCCAUCAUCAUUGGAGCAUCGCGGCUACAAGAUGCAAAAAGUAAUGACAUAGUUAAUGUGAACUAUGCAUGUCCAAGAUUUUAUAUCAUAUACCCCUAUGGAUAAGGAAUUUCAAAACUUAAGGCAUCAAAUUAUAAGCUCGAUAAUAGGAAUAUAUAUCUCAAUAUAGGAUCAAAGGAGACAAAAGUACUCAUUAAUUAAUGCACAGAAAAAUGGUCAAAGAAGCAAAGUGUAUAGAGAUAGCUAGUUGAUUAUCAAGAUAUAGAUGUAUCAAGUACUAAAUGACCGAUGGCUUGCUAACCCCAAACAAUAAUAAUUACUACACAUUGUCAAGCAGCAAUCCUAACAUCAGUAACAUUACUAACUUAAUCUGCUUGACUUAUCCAAAUUACAUUAAAUUUAGAUCACUAAAUCUAAAGUUUAAGAUCGUAAAUUGAUAGAAGUAGUGGAAUGAAACUUGACAAAACCACAUGC